rnacentral:tRNA from 1 species
CCUGAUGUAGCUCAAUGGCAGAGCCCCGGCUUGUGGUGCCGGUGAUUGCGGUUCGACCCCGCACUUUGGGG